rnacentral:lncRNA from 1 species
ACACCCCCGGCGGGCCCCUCGGCCUUCCUCGGCCUGCCCAGCGGCGGCAACGGCAACGGCGGCAGGUUACCUUCCCGUGCGAGUCCCGCAGGCGGCCCAGCCAGGCGGCGUGGUGGGGCUCCAUGAGGCGGGCCUCGGCGCGGCCUCAGCGAGGCGAAAUGACCAUCACUGCACCUUAUAAGCCGUCUGGAUGACCUUGGACCCUGUCUCUCUCUCUCUCUCAGCCCUAGGAAGAAGUCUGGCAAUCGACAAGCAUUUCACAAGGCAAAACGAGUU